rnacentral:rRNA from 1 species
AUAGGGACAAGUGACUAAGUGCACAUGGUGGAUGCCUAGGCGAUAUCAGGCGAUGAAGGACGUAGUAGCUUGCGAUAAGCCACGGGGAGCUAGCAAACAAGCUUUGAUCCGUGGAUUUCCGAAUGGGGCAACCCGGCCUUUAAGGUCAUCGCACCCUGAAUACAUAGGGGUGCGAAGCGAACGCGGCGAACUGAAACAUCUAAGUAGCUGCAGGAAAAGAAAUCAACCGAGAUUCCCAAAGUAGUGGCGAGCGAAAUGGGAACAGCCAGCAGGUUUUAGCAUCACGCAUAGCAAAACGGAUUGGAAACUCCGGCCAUAGCGGGUGAUAGCCCCGUAUGCGAAAUGGGUGGUGUGGAACUAGGCCUGCGACAAGUAGGGCGGGACACGUGAAAUCCUGUCUGAAGAUGGGGGGACCAUCCUCCAAGGCUAAAUACUCGAUAUCGACCGAUAGUGAACCAGUACCGUGAGGGAAAGGCGAAAAGAACCCCGGAAGGGGAGUGAAAUAGAUCCUGAAACCGUGUGCAUACAAACAGUCGGAGCCCUGUAAGGGGUGACGGCGUACCUUUUGUAUAAUGGGUCAGCGACUUACAUUCAGUGGCAAGCUUAACCGCAUAGGGAAGGCGCAGCGAAAGCGAGUCCGAACAGGGCGAUAUAGUCGCUGGGUGUAGACCCGAAACCAGAUGAUCUAUCCAUGGCCAGGAUGAAGGUGCCGUAACAGGUACUGGAGGUCCGAACCCACUAGUGUUGAAAAACUAGGGGAUGAGCUGUGGAUAGGGGUGAAAGGCUAAACAAAUCUGGAAAUAGCUGGUUCUCUCCGAAAACUAUUUAGGUAGUGCCUCAUGUAUCACCAUCGGGGGUAGAGCACUGUUAUGGCUAGGGGGUCAUCGCGACUUACCAAACCAUUGCAAACUCCGAAUACCGAUGAGUGCGAGCAUGGGAGACAGACGCCGGGUGCUAACGUCCGACGUCAAGAGGGAAACAACCCAGACCGCCAGCUAAGGUCCCCAAGAUUGGCUAAGUGGAAAACGAAGUGGGAAGGCUAAAACAGUCAGGAGGUUGGCUUAGAAGCAGCCAUCCUUUAAAGAAAGCGUAAUAGCUCACUGAUCGAGUCGUCCUGCGCGGAAGAUGUAACGGGGCUAAGCCAGUCACCGAAGCUGCGGAUCUG